rnacentral:rRNA from 1 species
CCUACGGGAGGCAGCAGUAGGGAAUAUUGCUCAAUGGGGGAAACCCUGAAGCAGCAACGCCGCGUGGAGGAUGAAGGUUUUCGGAUUGUAAACUCCUUUUGUUAGAGAAGAUAAUGACGGUAUCUAACGAAUAAGCACCGGCUAACUCCGUGCCAGCAGCCGCGGUAAUACGAAGGGUGCAAGCGUUACUCGGAAUCACUGGGCGUAAAGAGCGCGUAGGCGGGAUAGCAAGUCAGAUGUGAAAUCCUAUGGCUUAACCAUAGAACUGCAUUUGAAACUGUUAUUCUAGAGUAUGGGAGAGGUAGGUGGAAUUCUUGGUGUAGGGGUAAAAUGCGUAGAGAUCAAGAGGAAUACUCAUGGCGAAGGCGACCUGCUAGAACAUAACUGACGCUGAUGCGCGAAAGCGUGGGGAGCAAACAGGAUUAGAUACCCCUGUAGUC